rnacentral:lncRNA from 1 species
GAUGGUCACUAGUGGUGAAACCCUGAAUUGCCCAUAAGCAUCUGGCCCGUGUGGAGGGCAACAAUUUCUUCCAGAUCAGUGGAUAAAAUGCUUGUUUCAGACUUUUGUCUAUAACUUGACUAUGUUUUCAAAUUUAGACUGCUUUUCUUCAAAAAUCUUAUGAGACAAGCUGGUCUGCUGAGGAAAAACAAAGCGAACAAGAGUCUUUGCUCUUUGCCUCCUUGACAUAAUGACGGUGCCAUGGCAGUUUCUGGUUUACUUCAGAAGUGUUCGUAGUUACAGGCUGGAAGCAGGAGCUCAGCAGCAUCGGAGUGGCUGAGCUGUCCUGCCUGGGAGCUGCACAAAAUCUUUGGUGUGCAACUGUGGAAGUGUUUCCAGACUGCUCUGGAAUCUCUCCACUUAUGGGUCACCCAACAAGAUCCUGCUUCUUGCUCAGCCAUGUACAGAAAUGGGCAGGCAUCCACACCUUCUAAAAUAAAGGACCCUGGAAAUUAUUCUUUCUUGCCCUACAUUCCAGCCUGGAUGGACUCAGAAGUUAAGAACCACACCGUAAAGAUCUAUUUCACCAGCAUCUCACCGUAAAGAUCUAUUUCACCAGCAUCUCUGUCCCCUCAUUACAGUAAGCUCUCUUCUGUCAUCUUCCUGUCUCAGAGCUCUGCUUGGAGACCAGUUGAUGAGAUCCAUACCUCUGUACCAAGCUGUGUGACAAAAGCUGUGGGUCAAGUACUGCCCAAGUAAGAGUAAUUUGUUUACAUUUACUUUGGAUGUCACUCUCCCUUGAUAAGAAUAACUUAUAUGUAUAUGGGUAUAUGUACAAAACCACUGAUUAUAUUCUAAUUUCUGUCCCUUUGCUGAAAGUUGG